rnacentral:rRNA from 1 species
GACGAACGCUGGCGGCGUGCUUAACACAUGCAAGUCGAACGGAAAGGCCUUUUCGGAGGUACUCGAGUGGCGAACGGGUGAGUAACACGUGGGUGAUCUGCCCUGCACUCUGGGAUAAGCCUGGGAAACUGGGUCUAAUACCGGAUAGGACCGCACUUUAGUGUGUGUGGUGGAAAGUUUUUUCGGUGUGGGAUGAGCCCGCGGCCUAUCAGCUUGUUGGUGGGGUAAUGGCCUACCAAGGCGGCGACGGGUAGCCGGACUGAGAGGUUGGUCGGCCACAUUGGGACUGAGAUACGGCCCAGACGCCUACGGGAGGCAGCAGUGGGGAAUAUUGCACAAUGGGCGCAAGCCUGAUGCAGCGACGCCGCGUGGGGGAUGACGGCCUUCGGGUUGUAAACUCCUUUCGCCAGGGACGAAGCGUUUUGUGACGGUACCUGGAGAAGAAGCACCGGCUAACUACGUG